AUCGAACGCUGGCGGCAUGCCUAAUACAUGCAAGUCGAGCGGACCCUUCGGGGUCAGCGGCGGACGGGUGAGUAACACGUGGGUAAUCUGCCCAACUGACUGGAAUAACGCCUGGAAACGGGUGCUAAUGCCGGAUAGGCAACUGGUAGGCAUCUACCGGUUGGGAAAGGUGCAACUGCACCGCAGAUGGAGGAGCCCGCGGCGCAUUAGCUAGUUGGUGGGGUAACGGCCCACCAAGGCGACGAUGCGUAGCCGACCUGAGAGGGUGACCGGCCACACUGGGACUGAGACACGGCCCAGACUCCUACGGGAGGCAGCAGUAGGGAAUCUUCGGCAAUGGGCGAAAGCCUGACCGAGCAACGCCGCGUGAGCGAAGAAGGCCUUCGGGUUGUAAAGCUCAGUCACCCGGGAAGAGCGGGCAGGAGAGGGAAUGCUCCUGUCGAGACGGUACCGGGAGAGGAAGCCCCGGCUAACUACGUG
rnacentral:rRNA from 1 species